AGCGGUAACAUGGCGUCCAGGUCUAAGCGGAGGGUCGUGGAAAGUGGGGUUCCGCAGCCGCCAGACCCCCUACUCCAGUGCGACAACGAAGAGGAAGAUGAAGUCGUGGAUGAGGACGAAGGCGAUGACGACAGUGACGAGGAAGAGGAUGAAGAGGACCACGUUAUUGACGAGGAAGUGAAUAUUGAAUUUGAAGCUUAUUCCCUAUCAGAUAAUGAUUAUGACGGAAUUAAGAAAUUACUGCAGCAGCUUUUUCUAAAGGCUCCUGUGAACACUGCAGAACUAACAGAUCUCUUAAUUCAACAGAACCAUAUUGGGAGUGUGAUUAAGCAAACGGAUGUUUCAGAAGACAGCGAUGAUGAUGUGGAUGAAGAUGAGGUUUUUGGUUUCAUAAGCCUUUUAAAUUUAACUGAAAGAAAGUGUACCCAGUGUGCUGAACAAAUUCAAGAGUUGAUUCUCAGCUUCUGUGAGAAGAAUUGUGAAAACAGCAUGGUUGAACAGCUGGACAAGUUUUUAAAUGACACCACCAAGCCUGUGGGCCUUCUCCUAAGUGAAAGAUUCAUUAAUAUCCUUCCACAGAUCGCUCUGCCCAUAUACCAGCAGCUUCAGAAAGAACUGGCGGAGGCACACAGAACCAAUAAGCCAUGUGGGAAGUGCUACUUUUACCUUCUGAUUAGUAAGACAUUUGUGGAAGCAGGAAAAAACAAUUCCAAAAAGAAACUUAGCAACAGAAAGAAAGCUGCGUUAAUGUUUGCAAAUGCAGAGGAAGAAUUUUUCUAUGAGCAGGAGCAGGGAAAACCUGAGGUGCUCGGAGGUCCAGACACAAGAAGAGGAUUGGAACCCGUUCCGAUACAGCACAAUGGUUGGUCUGUUCCCCUAGUAUUAGAAUAAAUUAAAACAUACAAGCCAGGAUGAAUGAAGCCAAUAGGAAAUUUAAAAACAAGCACACAUCAUUAUUUGGGGAAAAACACCUCUAGUGACAUAUUUUCUUCAUCUGCACUGAUUACUUCAGUAGAAGAAACCUACUAUGUUUUCAUACAUUUGAUGUAUAAAUUUGCUGAACUUUUAGUUUUCUUAUAUUAAGAUAAUUUUUCAUAUUAAGAAAAAUUUCCUUUUCUAACCUAUUAAAAUACCUCACUAUCAUUUCAAAAGGUUAAAUGACUUGAUCACCAUCUCUCCUAUUUUAUCCUCAAAAUAUAAUUUCAAAUGGAUCCCAUUUAAAUCUAUACCUAGUGCAGAUUUGCAAAAAAA